rnacentral:ncRNA from 1 species
GGUUUUCAGGGCAGGGUGUGAUUCCCGACCGGCGGUAUAGUCCGCGACCCAGCAUUGCUGGUUGAAUUGGUGUAAUUCCAGUACCGAUAGUUAAAGUCUAGAUGAAAGAAAACA